CGCAAGCCUGACGGAGCAAGACCGCGUGGGGGAUGACGGCCUAAUGGUUGUAAACCCCUUUUCUCUGGGAAGAAGACUGACGGUACCAGAGGAAUCAGCCUCGGCUAACUCCGUGCCAGCAGCCGCGGUAAUACGGGGGAGGCAAGCGUUAUCCGGAAUUACUGGGCGUAAAGCGUCCGUAGGUGGUUAUUCAAGUCUGCUGUCAAAGCGUGGGGCUUAACUCCAUAGAGGCAGUGGAAACUGGAUGACUUGAGUGCGGUAGGGGUCGAGGGAAUUCCCAGUGUAGCGGUGAAAUGCGUAGAUAUUGGGAAGAACACCAGUGGCGAAAGCGCUCGACUGGGCCUGCACUGACACUGAGGGACGAAAGCUAGGGGAGCG
rnacentral:rRNA from 1 species